rnacentral:rRNA from 1 species
GACGAACGCUGGCGGCGUGCUUAACACAUGCAAGUCGAACGGAGAUUCAGCAAUGGAUCUUAGUGGCGAACGGGUGAGUAACGCGUAGGCAAUCUGCCUUCUAGAUGGGGACAACAUCCCGAAAGGGGUGCUAAUACCGAAUGUUGUAUGAUCUUCGCAUGGAGAUGAUACUAAAGGUGGCCUCUGAAUAUGCUACCGCUAGAAGAUGAGCCUGCGUCUGAUUAGCUAGUUGGAGAGGUAACGGCCCACCAAGGCUUCGAUCAGUAGCCGGUCUGAGAGGAUGAACGGCCACACUGGGACUGAGACACGGCCCAGACUCCUACGGGAGGCAGCAGUGGGGAAUCUUCCGCAAUGGACGAAAGUCUGACGGAGCAACGCCGCGUGAGUGAAGAAGGUUUUCGGAUCGUAAAACUCUGUUGUUAGAGAAGAAUGUUGAUUAGAGUGGAAAAUUAAUCAAGUGACGGUAUCUAACCAGAAAGGGACGGCUAACUACGUGCCAGCAGCCGCGGUAAUACGUAGGUCCCGAGCGUUGUCCGGAUUUAUUGGGCGUAAAGCGAGCGCAGGUGGUCUAAUAAGUCUGAUGUAAAAGGCAGUGGCUCAACCAUUGUGUGCAUUGGAAACUGUUAGACUUGAGUGCAGUAGAGGAGAGUGGAAUUCCAUGUGUAGCGGUGAAAUGCGUAGAUAUAUGGAGGAACACCGGUGGCGAAAGCGGCUCUCUGGACUGUCACUGACACUGAGGCUCGAAAGCGUGGGUAGCAAACAGGAUUAGAUACCCUGGUAGUCCACGCCGUAAACGAUGAGUGCUAGUUGUUUGGGGCUAUCCAGCCCUAAGUGACGCAGCAAACGCAUUAAGCACUCCGCCUGGGGAGUACGACCGCAAGGUUGAAACUCAAAGGAAUUGACGGGGGCCCGCACAAGCGGUGGAGCAUGUGGUUUAAUUCGAAGCAACGCGAAGAACCUUACCAGGUCUUGACAUACUCGUGCUAUUCCUAGAGAUAGGAAGUUCCUUCGGGACACGGGAUACAGGUGGUGCAUGGUUGUCGUCAGCUCGUGUCGUGAGAUGUUGGGUUAAGUCCCGCAACGAGCGCAACCCUUAUUGUUAGUUGCCAUCAUUAAGUUGGGCACUCUAGCGAGACUGCCGGUAAUAAACCGGAGGAAGGUGGGGAUGACGUCAAAUCAUCAUGCCCCUUAUGACCUGGGCUACACACGUGCUACAAUGGGCGGUACAAAGAGAAGCUAACUCGCGAGAGCGCGCAAAUCUCAAAAAGCCGUCCUAAGUUCGGAUUGGAGUCUGCAACUCGACUCCAUGAAGCUGGAAUCGCUAGUAAUCGCGGAUCAGCAUGCCGCGGUGGAUACGUUCCCGGGCCUUGUACACACCGCCCGUCACACCCGGAAAAUUGAUUGCACCAGAAGUCGUUGAGCUAACUUCUAUUUAUAGAGGGGGCAGACGCCGACGGUGUGGUUAGUAAUCGGGGUG